rnacentral:rRNA from 1 species
GACGUAGGGCGCGAGCGUUGUCCGGAUUUAUUGGGCGUAAAGAGCUCGUAGGCGGCUUGUCGCGUCGACUGUGAAAUCCCGCGGCUCAACUGCGGGUCUGCAGUCGAUACGGGCAGGCUAGAGUUCGGUAGGGGAGACUGGAAUUCCUGGUGUAGCGGUGAAAUGCGCAGAUAUCAGGAGGAACACCGGUGGCGAAGGCGGGUCUCUGGGCCGAUACUGACGCUGAGGAGCGAAAGCCAGGGGAGCGAACGGG